rnacentral:rRNA from 1 species
GGGCGCAAGNNCUGAUGCAGCCAUGCCGCGUGUAUGAAGAAGGCCUUCGGGUUGUAAAGUACUUUCAGCGGGGAGGAAGGGAGUAAAGUUAAUACCUUUGCUCAUUGACGUUACCCGCAGAAGAAGCACCGGCUAACUCCGUGCCAGCAGCCGCGGUAAUACGNAGGNGGCAANMRWWAANNGGAAUUACUGGGCGUAAAGCGCACGCAGGCGGUUUGUUAAGUCAGAUGUGAAAUCCCCGGGCUCAACCUGGGAACUGCAUCUGAUACUGGCAAGCUUGAGUCUCGUAGAGGGGGGUAGAAUUCCAGGUGUAGCGGUGAAAUGCGUAGAGAUCUGGAGGAAUACC